rnacentral:rRNA from 1 species
GACGUAGGGCGCGAGCGUUGUCCGGAUUUAUUGGGCGUAAAGAGCGUGUAGGCGGCCAUUCAGGUCAGCUGUGAAAACUCGAGGCUCAACCUCGAGACGUCGGUUGAAACCGUUUGGCUAGAGUCCGGAAGAGGAGAGUGGAAUUCCCGGUGUAGCGGUGAAAUGCGCAGAUAUCGGGAAGAACACCCGUGGCGAAGGCGGCUCUCUGGGACGGUACUGACGCUGAGGAACGAAAGCCAGGGUAGCGAACGGG